rnacentral:rRNA from 1 species
UACAGAGGGGGCAAGCGUUGUUCGGAAUUACUGGGCGUAAAGGGCGCGUAGGCGGUUGGGUAAGUCAGCUGUGAAAACCACGAGCUUAACUCGUGGCCUGCAGUUGAGACUGUCUGGCUUGAGUGUGGGAGAGGAGAGUGGAAUUCCUGGUGUAGCGGUGAAAUGCGUAGAUAUCAGGAGGAACACCGGUGGCGAAGGCGGCUCUCUGGACCACAACUGACGCUGAGGCGCGAAAGCUAGGGGAGCAAACAGG